GACGAACGCUGGCGGCGUGCCUAAUACAUGCAAGUCGAACGCAGUGGGGACGGGUGAGUACCACGUGGGUAACCUCCAAUCAGAGGGGAGAACACUUGGAAACAGGUGCUAAACUGCUACCGAUGGAUUGACCCGCGGUGCAUUAGCUAGUUGGUGAGGUAACGGCUCACCAAGGCCACGAUUCAUAGCCGACCUGAGAGGGUGGUCGGCCACCCUGGGACUGAGACACGGCCCAGACUCCUACGGUAGGCAGCAGUAGGGAAUCUUCGGCAAUGGACGAAAGUCUGACCGAGCAACGCCGCGUGAGUGAAGAAGUUUUUCGGAUCGUAAAACUCUGUUGUUAGAGAAGCGGUAUCUAACCAGAAAGCCACGGCUAACUACGUGCCAGCAGCCGCGGUAAUAC
rnacentral:rRNA from 1 species